GUUACAUAGUUAUCGCAAUUUUGAUUUCAUUAAUAUUCGUUCGAAACAUCGCAAGUACAAUUGAGUAAGUGACGAUGCAUCCCUGGCUUAGUGCCUAUCGGAGUGCAUAAUCAAAACAAAACAAAACAAAAACAGCUAACUGAAAAUUGCAUUAAAUGCAAAUUUGAUGCUGCUAAUUGCUGCAAUUAUACAAAAUGCAGAGGGGCGCAAAUACUGAAGAUAGUGAAAUUGCAUUAACUGCAAGCUGACUAGCAGAGCUGCUGCCAUACAAAGUGUAGAGGGGCGCAAAACUGGAAAUAGCAGAAUUGCAUUAAUUGCAAGAUGACUAG